rnacentral:lncRNA from 1 species
GCCUUCCCGAUCGGGUUCACGAAGGGGAUACGGUCCUACUGGCGAAGCCGCAAGUACCAUAGCGUGGACAGCAGCGCGGCGGGCCGCGGCACGAGCAACCUGGUGCGGCUCGGGGGCGGAAGCGGCAGCGGCAGCGACGGCGGGGCGUGGGCCGUGCGGCUGGGAGGCAUGUUCCGCACGCGCGUCAAGGCGGCGGCGCCCGCGGCGACGACGACCGCCGUGGCGAAGGUACCCGCGCGCGUGCUGGGGCGGGUACGGGACGCGUACGUGGACGCCAUGGUCGGCGUGGCCAAGAAGCAGGCGGCCGCGGCGCUGUCGCAGCCGGGAGCCGGGACGACGGAGGCGCUGUGGCAGAAGCGCGUGCCGGUACGACGGUCGCGCGGGCAGAGCAAGAAGCAGCUGCGGCAGAAGGCGGACGAGCUCGGGCAGAGACUGGUCAUGGAGAUGUACAAGUCCGUCCUCGCGUCGAGGGACCUCUCCAGCAUGCUCCAGGCAUCAAGGGCGCAAUAGCAUGCAACACUACAUCGUGCAAAAGUGAUGCAUCCGCGCAAGCUUAACGUGAACUAACGGCUGU